UUUGAUUCGGAAGACAAGUUCAAUAUUGUUAUUCAUAUAAUAACACUGUCACGCUAUGUAAGCAUAUACGAGGGUUUUUUAAGACGAACAUUCUCUCUGAUGGGGAAUAUACUUAUAUACUGUCAUUCAUAUUAGAUGUUCCACAAAAAAAGUAGAAAACAGAUUUUUUUGGAGGAUGAAUUUACUGUUGUAUCGAACAUGGUGUAUCGAGGAGAAAAUGUGCUAGUCGUAGAGUCGAAGAAAAAGGAAGGAUGUUGUGUAUUGCUCGAUCGAAAAAACUUGUUGAAAUUACAAUAUAUAGAGGAGAGUAUUUUCGAAACGUUCGCACGAAAGUCAACCAUCAUACUUCCAGUUGUAUUAAGGCAAUUUGAAAUUAUUGGAAAUUAUAUAGACCGGGAAUUUACCAAUGUGCAAUCGCCACUGAAAACAGUUGAAGAAAUGAUAAUUUUUAUUAAAAACCUUCAGACCGAUCAAAUCAUCACGAAUAUCGAUUUAAAUUUUGUUAGUCAGCUGAAAAUGUGUGCAGCACGAAAAUUAGCUGAACAAUGGUCUCAACGAUGGAGCGGAGGAAUGUCACCAGAGUUAAUCGUUGACCCCAUUUCGCCAUUGUCGCCGAUGACAUCGUCAUCGUAUUCACCGUCCAUGUCCAAUCACAUAAUUAUUGCUCCGAAAAAAUAUUCAUCACCUAAUAUACCUAUCGCCUAUAGCUAUAAUAAUGGUGUAUUACCGAAACAGUCGUUCGAAAGACAACCGUCAUACGACCAGUUGUCUUAAAACAGUUUGAGAUUAUUUGUAAAUAUUUGGACCAAGAAUUUACCAAUGUGAUUUCACCACCUGUUAAUGAAGAAAUGAUUAUUUUUAUCAAAAAUUUAAGUGACGUUAAAAUUAUUGAAUCCGCUCCCAAAGAAGAUAUGAAUUUCAUCAGUCAGCUCAAAAUAAAUUCAACUACUCAAUUAGCAGAUCAUUGGGCGCGACGUUGAAGCGGGGGGAUGUCACCAGAGAUAAUUAAAUCUUAAUACUAGCUCUAUAAAAUAGGUAUUUAAUUUUUAUUAUUUUUUAUUAUUUUUAGUUAAUCGUUGACCCCAUUUCGCCAUUGUCGCCGAUGACAUCAUCAUCAUCAUAUUCACUGUCCAUGUCUAAUCAUAUAAUUAUGGCUCCGAUAAAAAAAUAUUCAUCACCGUCCCCUCAAUAUGCUGAUGACACCGAUGCGCAGCCGCCAACGACCAAACCAUGGGAUAUAACGCCGCGACAAUUAUUCUCACCGUCUUUUUUCGAUGGUGAAUGUUCACAGAUAAAUCUUACGCAGGCAACAUAUUGUGCACAAAAUCGGGAAUCCAAACCGAAACCUAUCGAUGAGAACGAUGGACCCACAUAUCAGGGAUUUAAUUCAGACAAUUGUGCACAGUACCAUCAACGGUAUACAGGACCCCGAUAUAUCGAGCCUUCGUCAACGAGUCAUGCAGUUGAUGAGAACGACGGUCCAAUACGUUUCAACAAACAACCAUCAUCUCCGCCAUCUCUGUUUGACUAUAUGGACGAUACCACAGAAAUUUAUACUCAGAAAAAUGUAAAACGCAAACUCUUAAAUUAAUUUUGUAUAAUAUAAUGAUUUAUGCAAAAAUUUUACUCAGAUA